CGUAGGGUGCGAGCGUUAAUCGGAAUUACUGGGCGUAAAGUGUGCGCAGGCGGCCAUGCAAGUCGAGUGUGAAAGCCCCGGGCUUAACUUGGGAAUUGCGCUCGAAACUACGUGGCUGGAGUGUGGCAGAGGAAGGUGGAAUUCCACGUGUAGCGGUGAAAUGCGUAGAGAUGUGGAGGAACACCAAUGGCGAAGGCAGCCUUCUGGGCCAACACUGACGCUCAUGCACGAAAGCGUGGGGAGCAAACAGGAUUAGAUACCCUGGUAGUCCACGCCCUAAACGAUGACGACUAGUUGUUGGAGGAGUUAAAUCCUUUAGUAGCGCAGCUAACGCGCGAAGUCGUCCGCCUGGGGAGUACGGUCGCAAGAUUA
rnacentral:rRNA from 1 species